rnacentral:rRNA from 1 species
AAUCAACGCUGGCGGCGUGCCUAACACAUGCAAGUCGAACGAGAAAGGGGACUUCGGUCCCUGAGUACAGUGGCGCACGGGUGAGUAACACGUGACUUAUCUACCCUCGAGUGGGGAAUAACUUCGGGAAACCGAGGCUAAUACCGCAUAAUACCCACGGGUCAAAGGAGCAAUUCGCUUGAGGAGGAGGUCGCGGCCCGAUUAGUUAGUUGGCGGGGUAAUGGCCCCCACCAAGACGGUGAUCGGUAUCCGGCCUGAGAGGGCGCACGGACACACUGGAACUGAAACACGGUCCAGACUCCUACGGGAGGCAGCAGUGGGGAAUUUUGCGCAAUGGGGGAAACCCUGACGCAGCAACGCCGCGUGGAGGAUGAAGUCUCUUGGGACGUAAACUCCUUUCGAUCGGGACGAUUAUGACGGUACCGGAAGAAGAAGCCCCGGCUAACUUCGUG